rnacentral:rRNA from 1 species
AUGCUCCACCGCUACCUGCGACGCCUGCCACCUUCCUGCGACGCCACGGGUGGGGCGCCCGCCACCUGCUCGACCGGCGGUGUGGCCUCCUUCCGUGCACCCGGCCAGAGUGCUCAAAGGCAUAAAGAGAAAGAUAAUUUUCAUGUGAGGCUGCAAAUUGAUGUGCUUGAGCAGGCAUUUGGACCUAGGAUGGCGGGUGCAACAUCUCGGGGAGAACCAAGUCGUUGUAAUGGCAUCUCUAGCCAGAACAGUUCAGUUGGUGCACGGCGACGUGGUGGCUCGACAAGUGUGGGCAACGGCAGUAGGGCCCCCCUUGAAGUGGAGCCUGAUGACUACAAUUCUGGGGUUGAUGAAGAGAAGCUAUAUUCUGAUGUUAUUCGGAAUUUACGACGGCCACCUCGGGCUGAAAAUCAAGAUGAGGCUCACAAUGCAGUCCGUGUGGAUGAUGACACGGUGGGUGAGGACGAAUACCUUGCAGCUGUUGAAUGGGACCCUUUGAACCCUCAUAUGGAAGAAGGCUUCGAUGAAAAUGUUGGGCAGCAGCCGGUUGCCUCAACAAAUGAUGACAAUGAUGGUCAACAGCCAGUUGCAUCAGAUGAGGAUUUUGAUGAGGUUCCAAAUGAUGAUGGUCAACAGCCGCAUGAUUUUGACGAUGAUCCAAAAUAUCCUCCAAAUAAUCAUUCAAGUGAGGCUCCAAAUGGUGAUCCAAGUGAGGCUCCAAAUGGUGAUCAUGGUGAUCCAAGUGAGGCUCCAAAUGAUGAUCCAAGUGAGGCUUCAAAUGGUGACCAACCUUCUGUUCUUCUCUAUGGUAGGUUUGAAGAAGACACGCAAGGUACCGACAACCAAGAGGAGAAGAGAAGAAGCAAUGAGCACAAGGUGCACGAGAAGCAAAGUGAUGGCAAGAAGCUCAAGGAACAGACAAAAGCCCCAACGCUAUGA